rnacentral:rRNA from 1 species
UACGGAGGGUGCGAGCGUUGUCCGGAAUUAUUGGGCGUAAAGAGCUCGUAGGCGGUUUGUUGCGUCGGCUGUGAAAUCCCGAGGCUCAACCUCGGGUCUGCAGUCGAUACGAGCAAACUAGAGUGUUGCAGGGGAGACUGGAAUUCCUGGUGUAGCGGUGAAAUGCGCAGAUAUCAGGAGGAACACCGGUGGCGAAGGCGGGUCUCUGGGCAACAACUGACGCUGGAGGAGCGAAAGCGUGGGGAGCGAACAGG